GUCCGGAUAGCCUGGUGGUUAGGUGUUCGACUCACAGUCGUACCGCCCGGGUUCCACUCCCAGUUUGGGCU
rnacentral:tRNA from 1 species